AUUGAACGCUGGCGGCAUGCCUUACACAUGCAAGUCGAACGGUAACAGGUCUUCGGAUGCUGACGAGUGGCGCACGGGUGCGUAAUACAUCGGAACGUGCCCGAUCGUGGGGGAUAACGAAGCGAAAGCUUUUCUAAUACCGCAUACGAUCUACGGAUGAAAGCGGGGGAUCUUCGGACCUCGCGCGGACGGAGCGGCCGAUGGCAGAUUAGGUAGUUGGUGGGAUAAAAGCUUACCAAGCCGACGAUCUGUAGCUGGUCUGAGAGGAUGAUCAGCCACACUGGGACUGAGACACGGCCCAGACUCCUACGGGAGGCAGCAGUGGGGAAUUUUGGACAAAGGGCGCAAGCCUGAUCCAGCCAUGCCGCGUGCAGGAUGAAGGCCUUCGGGUUGUAAACUGCUUUUGUACGGAACGAAAAGGUGCCUUCUAAUAAAGGGCGCUCAUGACGGUACCGUAAGAAUAAGCACCGGCUAACUACGUG
rnacentral:rRNA from 1 species